CCUACGGGGUGCUGCAGUGGGGAAUAUUGCACAAUGGGGGAAACCCUGAUGCAGCGACGCCGCGUGAAGGACGAAGUAUUUCGGUACGUAAACUUCUAUCAGCAGGGAAGAAAAUGACGGUACCUGACUAAGAAGCCCCGGCUAACUACGUGCCAGCAGCCGCGGUAAUACGUAGGGGGCAAGCGUUAUCCGGAUUUACUGGGUGUAAAGGGAGCGUAGACGGCCAUGCAAGUCUGAUGUGAAAACCCGGGGCUCAACCCCGGGACUGCAUUGGAAACUGUGCGGCUGGAGUGUCGGAGAGGCAAGUGGAAUUCCUAGUGUAGCGGUGAAAUGCGUAGAUAUUAGGAGGAACACCGGUGGCGAAGGCGGCUUACUGGACAGUGACUGACGUUGAGGCUCGAAAGCGUGGGGAGCGAACAGGAUUAGAUACCCCUGUAGUC
rnacentral:rRNA from 1 species